UAUGUGUAUGUGUGUGUGCGUAUAAAUAACGCAAUAUAUUCGCAAGAUUUAAAUAAAAUAUUUAAAUGUUAUACAUAUUUAAGAAUUUAGAAAGUUAGAAUUAUAAUUUUAAACAUAACCUCUGUUCAUAAUGUCAGAUAUAAAAUGUAUCUAAUAUAAAAACACAAUCUUUUUCACGUGAUAAGACAGAAAUGAAGAGAAGCCAAGAACACGUGACAUUAUGAUAGUCUUUUAUACAUAUCUGAACAUACAUUUAUAUCAUUCGUUUGUAUGAUGCCUGCUCACGCAUACACUCAUAGUUUUGAUGACCUCGUACAUAUAAGUAAUAGCAGAAAUAUAUUUAUGUAGCAUAAUGAAUCGCUUCAUCUAAGGUGUAACAUGUAAUAUCAUUAAAUAUUUAUUAAUUUCUUUUUUCGUGUAUUAAUAUAUUUAAUAUUAAUAUAACUAAUAAUACUUAUGAGAUACUUAUUACAAAUUUAUUAUUUUGUAUUACGAUAAAUUAAUUUUAACUUAGUGCCUUCAUAUGCAGCUCUCAUCCAUACACCUACUGAAUGUGCUUGAGGAUCAGGAUAUUUGAGUUCCUGAAAUAGAUUUUAAAUAAAUUUUUCUUAUUUUAAUAUAUUAUUACAAACUAAAAUUUGUGAAGUAAACUAUAGUAUUUUAUAUUUUUUACAUGAGAAGAUUGUGUAUACAAAACAUUUGUAGUAAAAUUUUCAGCAGC